rnacentral:rRNA from 1 species
CAGUAGCCGCGGUAAUACAGAGGAUUUAAGCGUUAUCCGGAAUGAUUGGGCGUAAAGCGUCUGUAGGUGGCUUUGCAAGACAGAUGUGAAAUCCCCGGGCUCAACCUGGGAACUGCAUUUGUGACUGCAAGGCUAGAGUGCGGCAGAGGGAGAUGGAAUUCCGCGUGUAGCAGUGAAAUGCGUAGAUAUGCGGAGGAACACCGAUGGCGAAGGCAAUCUCCUGGGCCUGCACUGACGCUCAUGCACGAAAGCGUGGGGAGCAAACAGGAUUAGAGACCCCUGUAGUCCCUGUCUCUUAUAC